AAACAGAAAUGUGUAUUAUAACCUCUGCUUUUAACGUCUAAAUCUCUUAUGUAGUCUGACAGUCAAUAGCAUAAAAUAAAUCAGAACUAUUUAACAAAAUAGACCUACUUACUGAGAAGAAUUAAAUUUAAUAGUGCAUGCGCCUAAAGUAAAGUAAACUAAUAUAAUAUCAAAGACGACGACGUGAAUGAAACUGCAAAGUCUUCUCACAUUUUUAAUGAAGAAUUCAGUGGAGGGAACCAGGGUUACAUUAAGUAACCCGAGCCAUUCUCACUCUUGUAAAUAACCGGAUGUAGGCUAUGUGUGAACGUAACCAUAUUAAGGAUUCAAAUAUACAGUAGUACAGCUGUAUUCUGCUGCUGUGUGAACACGCAUUUGAGAUGAAUCUGUGUCAGUUUUUUGCCAUCAUUUUACAAAAAUAUUUGAACAGUUUGCCCCAAUUGACCUGAUAGAAUCAGGAAUUCCAGAUACACUGUUAGACAUUUCUGUAAUUUCCACAGUUAUUUACUGCAUGUCACCCAGUGUAAUACUGCAAAUUCCCUUUACAGUAAAUAACUGUAAUACCCUUUGCAUCAUGGGAAUUUUCUGUGACGUCAGACCCCAUAUACAGAGACUUACUGUAUUUUUUUAAAUUGCUGUAUACUACUGUAACGGUCUCUUUGGCACCAUUAUACUGCGGUCGUUUUAUUUUCCUCAUUUCUUACAUUUGGAUUGACACAAUUUGCCCUACACCGUGUCUACAACGCCGCAACAACUUGGGACUGACUACACUGGACUUGUUACAUUGCUUCUAAUGAUUGCAAAAUCCGUUUGUACUUCCUGUCAGAAACAGCACGAGCGCUUGGAGUACAUCUGCACGUCAGAAAUAUACCGGGGCAUCAGUUUACUGUCCGCAUUCACUGUAGAUAAUAUAUAUAAUAAGUUCUAUAUUGUUGUCUGUUGUCGAGUUGCGCUGCGCCGCGUAUGAUCCCCCUUGACCCCGCCAGAGUGGAAGAGCUCCGGAAAACAUCUACGCUGUGUGUCGAUGCACCUUACGAGAGAAUAAGACCAGCAAGCAAGGCAACUGCAAUGAAGCAUCAAGAAAGACAUGAGCAGGCCAGCCAACCUGAGACUGAUAAUUCAUGAGAAGACAUUUCUGUCACUAACAAAGUGGAUGGUGAGCAAAGAUGGUGGCCACGUUUUGGAGCAGCACCUGGGUUUUGCAGAUGGCUAUGUAUUCUUUGGCUGUUUGUCUUUUUCCCCGUUAUGUUUCUGUUGCCUAAAGAUUCUUUGUGAGGAUGAAUCCAGAGGACACAACAUAAUGCACUGCAAAACGUCCUAAGACAGGAGAAAUGGUGAAGUUGCACUGUUCCAGAGUUGGAAGUCUGUAUUUUUAAGUGUUAUACAUGCAAUGUUUUAAAUAAAGAAUUUGAUAUUUUGUAAUUAUUGUGUCUGCUUUAAUUGAAUGCCAGUAGUACCUAUGCAGAGUAAAAAUAAUAUAUAUAAAAAUGAUCAAAUCUAAUGAAAUCUACAUUAAAAUGAAUGAAUUACAGUAGUAUACUGAUAAAUCAAAUACAGUUUGCUACUGUAAAUCUUAAUUACAGUAACUUACUGGUAACAGUGUUGCCAGUAAGUUACUGUAAAAACCCUUUGAAAUGUCUAACAGUGCAGCCAUGAAGGGUUUAUCACAGAUACACAGUACCUCUAGAUAACGUAUAAAAGUAGUCAUGUAGUUACUGGUUUAUAUCAUAUAUUAUAUCAAGUUUUUUUGUAAUUACAGGAUUUAGGCUGAAUUUAGGUGUGGAUGUGAAGGGAUUUCUCAAUAACACUAGAUGGCCAUUCUAAUGCUAAAGCUGUUAGCAACCCUUCAUCCUUAUCUGCUUUACGAAUUAUCUGCUCCUCUUUUCUGUUUACAAACCCAUUGAACUGUUUACUUAUAAUUACCAUCUGCUGGUUUUUGCAACAGUAGUCAUUUUUGACCUAUGCUUCUGCAUCAGUUCAUUGCAUGACGAUAACAUGCUUUACUUGAAACAUUCACA